CUCUGAUUGGUGAAACUCCUCUAAAGCAUCAUGGUGUAGAGAACAUCCAACGACGUACAUCAAGAGAUCCAAAGGAAGGUCAGACAUGCCUGAUGGAUGCCAGACUGAUGAAGUGUUCAAAUUACCUGGCAAAAGUCUCAAAGCUUCUAUGUUUCAGCAUUGCAAAUAUGAAAUAGUCAUUGCAAAGCAUCCAUCAGCUGUAUUUACGUCCAUGUCUAUGAGUUAUGAACUGGCUGGUGAAAUAGUCAUCGGUUUUCAAAUGUUUUCAUGUUUUUCAGAAACCUCUUUGGAAUUCCAUGCUUUCACUGAAACAUGAUUAUUCACAGAUAUGUUUUGAUUUACCCAGCAUGUGGUGAUUUUUCCCAGUAACAUCAUACCGUGUUAACCCAGAUAAGGUCCUUGCACUGUUAUGUAAUGCAUGCCGUAGACAGGAAUGUUCACUAUGCUGUUUCACAAGAGCUCAACCCAAGUCACACACUGACAGGUGAGGAUGGAUAGGGUGUCACUUAUUUAGUAGCACACAUGCUCUCGCCUUAUGUCUGAGCAUGGCAUAGAGAGAAAAUGUGGAGAAAUGGUUGUUUCUAAAUGUCCUCUCAGCUUAACAUUUGGUACAUACACAUUAGAGGGCACAUGCACAUGUUGCCAGGAGUUGGACAGAUAUUUAUGUCUUGUUGCCAGUUUGCUCCGUAUGAGCCCCAACAGAAGAAUCUAGAAUGCUCUGGUGGUGGAAAAGUUUUUCUCAGGGCCUGUCAAAUGUGAAUUACUACCCACAACAAUCAAUUUAGGCAAUGUCUGUAAGUGUAAAUAUCAUCUUCCCCCUUUAAACUGCUGUUUGUACUUGACAUUUUGGUAUUCUUAAUUUUGGGGUUACACUUGUGAUUCUGGUGGUCAAAUCUGACUGAAGACAAUAAGCAUAAAUUCCUUUUCGGCUUUUUUAAUUCACAAUGGCUGAUUUUUAAAUUGAACCCACACAUUUACACAACACUGUUUUCAACUAAAAAAUGGAAACUUUUUAUGAGUUUUGACCAUUCAUUUACAUGACAAUAGCGUUUUGGGGGCCUGAAACUUUUUAAAACGGGUUUCAAGGGCAAGUAAAAACAUGUCAUUAAAAACAAAUUUAAGAAGAAUGUACUGGUCUGGCAUGUAUAAUACAGCACUUUUAGUCGUUUUCACAGAUCUGUGUGAGCGGGGAUCAUUUUGACAGCAUUGUUGUCUGUAUGCAGAACUUUCUUUGCAAAAACACAAAAGAAAGUCUUUUUAAUUUUUAGUAUAUCUUACCCUAAAAGUGGCUUAAAACCUAAAACCAUGC
ensembl:lncRNA